rnacentral:rRNA from 1 species
ACGAACGCUGGCGGCACGCUUAACACAUGCAAGUCGAACGAGAGAAGAGAAGCUUGCUUUUCUGAUCUAGUGGCGGACGGGUGAGUAACACGUGAGCAAUCUGCCUUUCAGAGGGGGAUACCGAUUGGAAACGAUCGUUAAUACCGCAUAACAUAAUUGAACCGCAUGAUUUGAUUAUCAAAGAUUUAUCGCUGAAAGAUGAGCUCGCGUCUGAUUAGCUAGUUGGUAAGGUAACGGCUUACCAAGGCGACGAUCAGUAGCCGGACUGAGAGGUUGAUCGGCCACAUUGGGACUGAGACACGGCCCAGACUCCUACGGGAGGCAGCAGUGGGGAAUAUCGCACAAUGGAGGAAACUCUGAUGCAGCGAUGCCGCGUGAGGGAAGAAGGUUUUAGGAUUGUAAACCUCUGUCUUCAGGGACGAAAAAAGACGGUACCUGAGGAGGAAGCUCCGGCUAACUACGUGCCAGCAGCCGCGGUAAUACGUAGGGAGCGAGCGUUGUCCGGAAUUACUGGGUGUAAAGGGAGCGUAGGCGGGAUCGCAAGUCAGAUGUGAAAACUAUGGGCUUAACCCAUAAACUGCAUUUGAAACUGUGGUUCUUGAGUGAAGUAGAGGUAAGCGGAAUUCCUAGUGUAGCGGUGAAAUGCGUAGAUAUUAGGAGGAACAUCAGUGGCGAAGGCGGCUUACUGGGCUUUAACUGACGCUGAGGCUCGAAAGCGUGGGGAGCAAACAGGAUUAGAUACCCUGGUAGUCCACGCCGUAAACGAUGAUUACUAGGUGUGGGGGGACUGACCCCUUCCGUGCCGCAGCAAACGCAAUAAGUAAUCCACCUGGGGAGUACGACCGCAAGGUUGAAACUCAAAGGAAUUGACGGGGGCCCGCACAAGCAGUGGAGUAUGUGGAUUAAUUCGAAGCAACGCGAAGAACCUUACCAGGUCUUGACAUCGUAUGCAUAGCUCAGAGAUGAGUGAAAUCUCUUCGGAGACAUAUAGACAGGUGGUGCAUGGUUGUCGUCAGCUCGUGUCGUGAGAUGUUGGGUUAAGUCCCGCAACGAGCGCAACCCUUACUGUUAGUUGCUACGCAAGAGCACUCUAGCAGGACUGCCGUUGACAAAACGGAGGAAGGUGGGGAUGACGUCAAAUCAUCAUGCCCCUUAUGACCUGGGCCUCACACGUACUACAAUGGCUGUCAACAGAGGGAUGCAAAGCCGCGAGGUGGAGCGAACCCCUAAAAGCAGUCUUAGUUCGGAUUGUAGGCUGCAACCCGCCUACAUGAAGUCGGAAUUGCUAGUAAUCGCAGAUCAGCAUGCUGCGGUGAAUACGUUCCCGGGCCUUGUACACACCGCCCGUCACGCCAUGGGAGUCGGUAACACCCGAAGCCUGUAGUCUAACCGCAAGGAGGACGCAGUCGAAGGUGGGAUUGAUGACUGGGGUG